GCGAACGUGGCGGAACUGGCAGACGCACUGGAUUUAGGUUCCAGCGGUUAACAGCCAUCCGGGUUCGACCCCCGGCGUUCGCACCA
rnacentral:tRNA from 1 species